rnacentral:tRNA from 1 species
GCGGCCAUAGCUCAACGGCAGAGCGCCUGGCUUCCACCCAGAGGACCGGAGUUCGAUUCUCCGUGGCCGCUC